GACAAACUUUACCUUCGCGGGCAUUUUGAUCCACUUCAUCUCGGAAAGCUGUUAUUCGGAGAAGAAAAGGUUGCAGAAUAACAGCUAAUAUUAAUGGAUCAUUCUAUUCAAGAGAAUGUCAACUGGAACUUGGAUGUUUUCAUAACAGACUUAAAGAUGAAAAAAUUGAUAAAGAAACCCUCCUGCUGGACAUCCACUUCCAAAAGUGCACACCACACUGUUGUCUACAACUCCCAGGAAAAGAAUCCUCUUCAGUAAGACUGCUCCGUGGAUAUUUUAGGUUAAGCAGUGCUGAAACCGAAAGAACUAACACUAUUUAAAAUGUUUUGUGAGUUUAUAUGAAGAGGAAAGUUACGGUGUCCCUUUUUCACAUCCAUAACGCUUGUUUAUUUCUUUUUUUUAUAGAAAACUUGUGCAUAGACUUAUAUUUUAACAUAUAAAUGCGGUUCUAUUAACAAGGGUUUAGUAAAAUACUUUUUAUAGCGUUUUGAAGUGUUAAGUUGUCUAACUAUUUAUAUUUACUUGUGCCACUUUAAUAACCUUGUUAAAUGUAUAUGUUAAAAUCUAAACUAAUGUAAUUUAUUGAAAUUAAUUUUCUUUAAAUAUGUAUAAACAUACAUUUCAUCAAAGAGUUUUAUAUGCCAUUUUAUUGUUCAUUGAGCAUAACAUAUUGCAUGUUUUUAUGAAUUCCUUUUGUCUUGCAUUUUGAUCCUUAAUAAAACUAUUGAUUCUUACUGAUGCCUCGAGUAUUUCUCUGUGAUUUUGUUAUUAUUAUUUUUAAACAUUUCGGGUUUGUUUUAAACCAUCAAUGUAAUUUUUAAGCAAAAGUUGAUUUAAAUAAAACAACCCAGCAUGUUGGGUCAAAGAUUUAACCCAACUGGCUGGGUUAAAAUAACCCAACGCUGGGUUUGUCCAUAUUUGACCCAAUGUUGGG